AUCUUUGCAACGCUCUCGGGAAGCUGUUUCCAGUCAUUUCCUGUUUUCCUGUUCGGGGACACACCGAAAUCUCAAAAACGAAGAGCAGCAAGUCACCUCUUUUGAGAUAAAGCUCACGUCACAUUGUAACAAUUAAAAGAUACUCAAGGCACCAUUUGGGGUUCCUCAGAUGCCACACUGGGAGAACCCUCUGGAGCUGGUACCUCAAAUUCUCUUGCAGGAACUAAGAGCAAGUUUCCCAGAGAACUAAAAGGGUGUCUGGAGGUUCUCCAGAUGGUGCUGCCAGUCUGGCACACUGGGGAAAAGAAAUAAGUACAG